rnacentral:rRNA from 1 species
GACGAACGCUGGCGGCGUGCUUAACACAUGCAAGUCGAGCGAACAGGCCCUGCUCUUGUGGGGUGCUCGAGUGGGGAACGGGGGAGUAACACGUGAGUAACAUGCCCUUGACUUUGGGAUAAAUCCAGGAAACUAGGGCUAAUACCGGAUGUGAGCUCCUGCAGCAUGGGGGGGGUUGGAGAGUUUCGGCGGUUCGGGAUGGACUCGAGGCUUAUCAGCUUGUUGGGGGGGUAGUGGCUUACCAGGGCUUUGACGGGUAGGCGGCGUGAGAGGGUGACCGGCCACCUUGGGCCUGAGAGACGGCCCAGACUCCUACGGGAGGCAGCAGUGGGGAGUAUUGCACAAUGGGCGGACGCCAGAUACAGAGACCCUGCGAGCGGGAUACCGGCCUACUGGUUAUAAACCACUUUCGCAGGAGACGAAGCGUGAUUGACGGUAAUGGGUAAAAAAGCACCGGCUAACUACGUG